UACAGAGGGUGCGAGCGUUGUCCGGAAUCACUGGGCGUAAAGGGCGCGUAGGUGGCGCUGCAAGUCGGUGGUGAAAGCUCGUCGCUUAACGACGAGUCGGCCAUCGAAACUGCAGGGCUCGAGCACUGUAGGGGCUAAUGGAAUUCCGGGUGUAGCGGUGGAAUGCGUAGAGAUCCGGAAGAACACCAGUGGCGAAGGCGGUUAGCUGGGCAGUUGCUGACACUGAUGCGCGACAGCGUGGGGAGCAAACAGG
rnacentral:rRNA from 1 species